rnacentral:tmRNA from 1 species
GGGGGCGACAAGGUUUCGACAGAACCGAAGGAGGCGAUAGUGCGGGCCGAGCUCCAAUAACUCGCAAAACUGUUGGAAAAAAACUAAACGCCAAUUCUGAAAUGGCACUGGCUGCUUAAACAGUAGUCACGUCCCCCGGGUGAGGCCUGCGGCCCCGGGUAAGGCGACGUUAGCAGGACAGCCCUUCGCCGGGGUUCCGACGGCAACGGGGUUAAAUUUUCUGGAACUGGCUAAAGGCGAGGCCUCCCGCGGGCCGAGCCUCGAGCGAAACUUAAACCGCGGGAUACGCUCGUAGACUCUGUCGUUGAAGCGCUUCUGGACGCGGGUUCGACUCCCGCCGCCUCCACCA